GAUGAAGAACGCAGCGAAAUGCGAUAAGUAGUGUGAAUUGCAGAAUUCAGUGAAUCAUCGAAUCUUUGAACGCACAUUGCGCCCCUUGGUAUUCCAUGGGGCAUGCCUGUUCGAGCGUCAUUUGUACCCUCAAGCUUUGCUUGGUGUUGGGCGUCUUGUCUUGUAUUAGACUCGCCUUAAAGUCAUUGGCAGCCAGUGUUUUUGGUAGUAAGCGCAGCACAUUUUGCGUCUUAGUCCUUGAAUCGUGGCAUCCAUGAAGCCUUUUUUCACUUUUGACCUCGGAUCAGGUAGGGAUACCCGCUGAACUUAAGCAUAUCAAUAAGCGGAGGA
rnacentral:misc_RNA from 1 species